AGUACAAUAGUAGUAGUAAUUGUUGUUAAGACUAAGUUAGGUUAGAAAUGCGACAACAUAUCAUAAUUCAUAAUUAAUCUAACGUGACGCAAGUAACGGUUGUGGAGUGCAGUGAAAGAUGCAGGAGAUAAUAUGGUAUUGGUCCAUAUUUUAACAAGAAGUCUAUAAUAUAACAAAAGACAAAGCUGACUAAUGCCAAGAUUCAGCCAAGAAUUUGUCAAAAUGCACAUUCACAAGGAAAGAUUGGAGACCUAAACUGCUUUAUAUCUCAGAAGGUGAUAGUUGGGUUUAUGAAUACAUAAAGAUGGCCUAAUCAACAGAUCAACAACUUAUAUUUACUGUUCAUGCUUACGAUAUAAUAUCGAAACUAAAAGCUAACAUCAAAAUCAAAAGCUCAAAGAGAUAUAUGUAAAGUUUGUA